UACGAAGGGGGCUAGCGUUGUUCGGAUUUAUUGGGCGUAAAGAGCGUGUAGGCGGCCAGACAGGUCCGUUGUGAAAACUCGAGGCUCAACCUCGAGACGUCGACGGAAACCGUCUGGCUAGAGUCCGGAAGAGGAGUGUGGAAUUCCUGGUGUAGCGGUGAAAUGCGCAGAUAUCAGGAAGAACACCUAUGGCGAAGGCAGCACUCUGGGACGGUACUGACGCUGAGACGCGAAAGCGUGGGGAGCGAACAGG
rnacentral:rRNA from 1 species